rnacentral:rRNA from 1 species
GACGAACGCUGGCGGCGUGCUUAACACAUGCAAGUCACGGGGGCCCGCAAGGGUAACCGGCGAACGGGUGCGUAACACGUGAGCAACCUGCCGAUCUGAGGGGGAUAGCCGGCCCAACGGCCGGGUAAUACCGCAUACGUUCUCGAGGGGACAUCCCCAUGAGAAGAAACCUCCGGGGCAGAUCGAGGGGCUCGCGGCCUAUCAGCUAGUUGGUGUGGGUAACGGCCCACCAAGGCGACGACGGGUAGCNGGUCUGAGAGGAUGGCCAGCCACAUUGGGACUGAGAGACGGCCCAGACUCCUACGGGAGGCAGCAGUGGGGAAUAUUGCACAAUGGGCGCAAGCCUGAUGCAGCAACGCCGCGUGCGGGAUGACGGCC